AGAGGCCACGAACGUUGUUCGGAAUCACUGGGCAUAAAGCGCACGUAGGCGGCUAGGUCCGUCCGAUGUGAAAGCCCCCGGCUCAACCGGGGAAUUGCAUCGGAUACAGCCUGGCUUGAGGACGGUUGGGGUGAGUGGAACUCCUGGUGGAGCGGUGAAAUGCGUAGAUAUCAGGAGGAACACCGGUGGCGAAAGCGGCUCACUGGACCGUUACUGACGCUGAGGUGCGAAAGCUAGGGGAGCAAACGGGAUUAGAUACCCCGGUAGUCCUAGCCGUAAACGAUGGGCACUGGGUAGGGGGGAAGCCUAUGCUCUUCCCUGCCGAAGCAAAUGUGUUAAGUGCCCCGCCUGGGGAGUACGCUCGCAAGGGUA
rnacentral:rRNA from 1 species